AUGAAAUCCACCCGCAGCCGCGACCAAGCUGGGCUGGCAACCGAGCCAGCAACUUCCCCGUCCGUCUGGUCAGUGCGGAGGUUACACAACCGGGUGCACAGGGCACUGCUGACAACUUUCAGACUGCGCUUUCCGGAGGGUUCACUAGUCCUCACAGGAGCGCGGAGACCGCGCUGGGGGUUGCGGAGACCGCGCUGGGGGUUCAGCGAGGAGGUCGAGCCAAACUCAGUACUACGUUCCGGCGUGGGGAAGGCGCUCCCCAGCCUUCUUUCCCCGAAGAUCAACUUCGUUUGGGUAUCUUCUUUUUCCCUACCUUGCAAAGCAAGCUGCUCCUUUCAGGGGGCCCGCGCUCUUUCCUCUUUCCUCUUUCAGAGGCUUUGGUCGCUGCUCUGGCUCAGCCUCUGGGGGCCAUCGGAGCGCGCGUCACCGACAGACCCGCUCGCCUCUGGAUCGCCUGGUGUUAACCCUCAGUGCAGCUCAGGGCCCCUCCUCAGGGCCCCUCCUCAGGGCCCCUCCUCAAGGCCCUGCUCGGGCGAGUGCUGGGGACAGGCGGCUCCCCGCGAGGAUGGGCGGAGUUUGGGCUCCCGGAGAUCACAGAAGGCAGAGAGAAGAAGGGAAGCAAGUUCCCUGCUGAGCAGAGAGCCCAAUGCUGGGCUUGAUCCCAGAAUCAUUACCUGAGCUGAAGGCAGUGGCUUCAACCCAUUGAGCCACCCAGGCACCCCUGUUUAAGUUAUGUUUUAAAUCAAAACUUGUGUCUUGUAGGAAUAAUUUAUAUGUAUUCAAAUUAUUGUUUGCUGACUUUCUAUUUGUAAUGCACCGAACUAGGUUUAAUGAAGGAAAAAACAAAAUACUGUCUGAAAUCCAAAAACAUAUUCAUAUUUGUUUCUUUAGUACCAAUUAUAAAUACCUUAAAGGUAUGAAAAGAAUAUGCAGAAUAUACUCCAUAUCUUUAAGUGAUUUGCCUCAAAACUGCAUAUAAAUUUGCUUUGUAUUUGAUUAAUGUAAGUGUCUGACUUCAAGGGAUUUAUAAUUUAGUUGGAAAUGCAAAGAAAGUACAAUAACAUAAUAAUAAGUCUUUCUUAUAUAUAGUCAGCACUAUGCACACAUAACAAGAAUUAUUUUGAAUUUUAAUCCUUAAAACAUUUUUCUCUAACUGAUAAUUGUAUCCCUGUUUUUUAAGUGGUGAAACAAAGGCAGGGAGGUUAAGCAACUCAUCCACUGUCACACAGUAGAAACUGAAGUUUAAAGUUCAGCCAUCUUUCCCCACAGCCCCAUAUAUUUUACCACUUUUCUGUGAUUAAAUACACACAAAUACAGUACAGUGAUAGGAAAACUAACUCUUUGCGGCCAUUGCAGAUCGAACAUAGGGUAAGUCCCAGAAGCCUUCUACUAAGAGAAAAUUUGGAGCCAGAUCUUGAAGGUACUAAUAAUAGAGUAUUUCAGAAGCUUCCCAAGUAUGCUAACUUCUCUACUUAGGAUUUUAAAAAAUACCCAACAAUAUAUAGAUGAUCUGAGGACAGACACUCAUGGAGAAGUCUGUUGGGCCACAGACUCAAAUAAAAAGGCUGCGCUUCCUGUGUUUACAAAGGUUCUCAUAGCCAUUGUUAGGGAAUCUCUUCUCUUUCUUUAAAUCACAGAAAAUUACCAAUCUUAGAGGAUGGAAAUAUCAUCAAAAGGAUUCUAAUCGAAGGCUGCAAGUAUAAGAAACUUAUAAGCACAAUAUAUAAAAUCCCCCAACUUCAAAGUUGAGACCCAGAAACAUGAGAUUUGAUUAAACAAUACUACAAAUGCUAACCCUAAUUUGGAGGGCAGGACAAUGUUAAGAUUUUGGAGGUAAGAAACAAAGACCUUGAUACAGGAGAGAGAGAGAGGAAUUUCUUAGAGGAUUCCCUUAAGUAUAAUAAUUAAGGUGAGAUCAUUUCUAAUAUAACACCUUAGGAAAGACUCUACUAUUCCCCAAGAAGGACAAAGAACUAGAAGGACAAAGUCUAAGGAAUUCAUAGCUAACAUCCUCCAGUAAGGGAGAAGGAAAGAGGGCUAUGGGGGAAUGGGAGUGGGAUAAGACCAUACUGAGAAAAAGUGAAAGGGUAUUUCCUGUGCUGGGGCCCAGCUGCUCCUAUAAAUUAUGCACUUGUCAUGGAGCUAAUCAAUAGGCUUCCUGAAAUAUAUUUCAUUAAAAAAUGGAUAUAGGACAUGAACAGAGGACAGCCCUGUUGCUCCAAGGUUGGAAUGAGAAGAGGAGAGAACAAGAGACCAGGGAGACCAGAGAAAAGAAGUAGGA
ensembl:lincRNA